AAAAAGAUAAACCCUGGUUUCUGUGCCCAACGUUUGACCGUCCGUCUUAUUUAAAAAAAAUUAAAAGACAAGUCACGCAUAAAAUAUUAAUCAUGUUUUAUCAUCUAACAACAAUGAAAAUACGAAUUAUAAAAAAAAUUCAUAUAAGACGGACAGUUAAAGUUGGACACGGAAACCCAGGAUUUGCUUUUU
rnacentral:pre_miRNA from 1 species